rnacentral:tRNA from 1 species
AUCUUUCUAGUAUAAAGUUAAUACAAGUGACUUCCAAUCAUUUAGUCUUGGUUAAACUCCAGGGAAAGAUA